GAGCAUCCUUACCCGUCUGGAAUAAUAAAAUGUUUAAUUUAUAUUAUUACAUGUGUUCAGUGUUUUUAAUUUUACGAUAAAUAAUAUCAGCUUAAUAUGUGCAAUAAAUACACAAACAGGUUUCCAUAGUUGGUAUUGAACAACUUUUAAUAUUUGAGUAUUUCCCUUAUGGCCAGCUAUAGUUUAGGUUGGUUACGGAUUGUUUUUCAUGGUUCAUCGGUUCGUUUCUUAAUUAUUGGUCACAUGACAGUUCUUGGUCAGUGUAAGAUUCAGUUUGAAUUUAGAAAUUGAAUUGGACAGUUGUGUCAUACUUUAGUUGAAAACUUUGGACAUUUGGACUUACAGACUACAAUCUACUAAUCAGAUAUACACCAGAUCUACACAUUACUAUAGAUCCAUCCGGAUUCUAAUACCACAUAUUUGGUAAGAGUGUGUUAUGUAUUGUUUAGGUGGUGUUUGAUAUGUUUGUCUUGCCAUUAUAUGUUCUGGACAGGUUCUUAGUUUAAAUGCAGAAUAUUAAGUAAAUUGGAUUAAUUAUGAUUUUAUAUUAAUGAUGUGAUCUGAUGAAGAAAAGACAAUUCUAUUUAUGUGAUUAAUGAAGAUUAAUAUGGAAUUAUUUCUUUGUCAUGUCUGUCCGUGAUUUUAUGUCGUGUAAUAUGUAAUGUGUGCAUGUUUAAUAUUUGUUAUUACUUGUUGUAGAAUCUUUUGGAUGAUAUUUAUUGGAUAACAUUUGGAUGAUCUGUGAAUGAUGUUAUUCUGAGCGAUUGUGAUAAAUAAACCUUGUGACCGGUA